rnacentral:rRNA from 1 species
UACGAAGGGGGCUAGCGUUGUUCGGAAUUACUGGGCGUAAAGCGCACGUAGGCGGCUUUGUAAGUUAGAGGUGAAAGCCCGGGGCUCAACUCCGGAACUGCCUUUAAAGACUGCAUCGCUAAGUACACGGGAGAGGUGAGUGGAAUUCCGAGUGUAGAGGUGAAAUUCGUAGAUAUUCGGAAGAACACCAGUGGCGAAGGCGGCUCACUGGACCGGUAUUGACGCUGAGGUGCGAAAGCGUGGGGAGCAAACAGG